GAAUCGGGGGGUUUGUGAUGCAGCUGGUAAAUGUUCUCUGACAGUUGGUCCAAAUGUGAGAAAGUCUGCUCAGUAACUCCUCUGAACAGCUGGGGGAACAUCUCUCCUCCUCUUCUGUGCUCGUUCUCACAAUACAGUUCUCCUGAUGAUUGACGGGCGUUCGCUCUAAACCUGCCUUUUGGAGAGAAAUCCUUCAUCUGAUCGUUCAUCUUGUCCAAGGAUCCGUUUAAGAUCUGCAGCGACUGCUGACUUAAUGUGGAGGAUAACAAUAACAAGAGAUUCAUACGAUCACAUAACGAGAACUACAGCAAAACAUUGAAACAAUGAUGAUGGAGAACAGAGAGAAACUUCAACAAAUGAGGAGGAUACACAGCAUGGUCAGCAUUGUCAAUUUUUCAGGAGAGUCUCCAGCUGAAGGUCCAGAUGAGAUUGAUGGGAUCCCUGAGAGCAAAGACCAGACCAGGCCAGAUCUGCUGGGAGAAACUGGAUCUGGGAAAAGAGCCACUGGAAACAGAAACCGGUUUGGAACUUGAGGCGGUUCAAACUCUUAAAUAAAACAGAGCAGCUCAGAUUCAUCUCAAUUAUUAAAAAAUCUAGGACAAACCUAAAAUGCUUCAAAUGAGAAGUGCCUUAAUGUACUAAAACUGAUCUAAAAGUUUCUAACUCAGAAUAUUGAUGAUGCUUACUAUUUACAGGUGAGCAGAUGAGCCUAUAGAAUAUAAAAUCAAGUCACAUUUUUUUCUAUAGAGCUUUAUAUAAACUGAUUGUGUCAAAGCUGCUUUAGAGAGUCAAAGAGGAAAAGAGUUUGUCAAUGAUGCAAGAAGACAACAGCCAGCUGAAGUCAGUUCAUCGAUGAUCCUCCAGGUCUCUUCAGUAGUGUUUGUGUGAGAAACUAGACUCAGUCAGGGUCAGAUCUCCUCUGGCCAGACAGAACCAGCAUGAUGUGCUUUAAUUCCAGCCUGCAGCACAGGUGCAGAGGACUCGUCUGGGUCUUGUGUUAAAUAGUUCAGUGGUUUCUGAAUAUGUGUAACUGAUGUAGUUUCCUUUCUGAAGCAUGGAUCACCAGCAAACCCUGGAGGCUGUAAAACAUGUUCUUGGGGCCCGAGGGGAAACUAGACAACAGAAGAUGUGUAGGAUUCAGAGGAAAAAUCAUUCAUGAUGCUACAGAAGCUCAUUGAAGCUCUGACAGCUUCAGCUUGUUAACAUGAUUGUUUACAAUAAUGAAGCUGAUAUGUUUUAUUUAGAUUAUCCAUGUACUUACACUAAAGAUGAUUAUUUCAUUAUUAAGUCAUGAAGUGACAUGAUUUGUGUCAAUUUCAAGUGUAACCCUUUUUCAUACGGUUAUAAAUCUUUUCUAUUUUAAGAUGUGCAGUCUAGUUUUUUGUAUUUAGUAUUAACAUGUAAAUAUCAUGGUUGUUUAUAGCUGAAGCGUCUGCACCAAAGAUGUCAUCAGAUGUUUCGAUAUUGCAUGCAGCUUGUUUACGAGUAUUGUUUGUGAAUUUUUUUCAUUUCAUGUAAAUUAUAUAUGUAUGAAAUGAAACGUAUGUAUGAAACGUAUUUAUUACGUCACUUAAUAAAUGUCAUGAAUGUUUUACUGUUGUUUAUGCAUAGCUUUAAUAAUGCUUCAUGCCAACUUAAUUUGACAAGUAUAUAUGUAAUUAUGAGUAUUAAAGACAUUGCUCUUCAUGGACAUGUUUGUUUGUUUAAGAAUGUGUGACGGUGUUGAAUUUCACACCUUAGCAAUAAACUAUUAUUAUUGCCAGGC